GACGAACGCUGGCGGCGUGCUUAACACAUGCAAGCCGAACGAUGACGACCGAGCUUGCUCGGUCUGAUUAGUGGCGAACGGGUGAGUAACACGUGAGCAACCUGCCCUUCACUCCGGGAUAACCUCGGGAAAUCGGGGCUAAUACCGGAUAUGAGCUCCUGUCGCAUGGCGGGUGUUGGAAAGUUUUUCGGUGAAGGAUGGGCUCGCGGCCUAUCAGUUUGUUGGUGAGGUAGUGGCUCACCAAGGCGAUGACGGGUAGCCGGCCUGAGAGGGCGACCGGCCACACUGGGACUGAGACACGGCCCAGACUCCUACGGGAGGCAGCAGUGGGGAAUAUUGCACAAUGGGCGAAAGCCUGAUGCAGCGACGCCGCGUGAGGGAUGACGGCCUUCGGGUUGUAAACCUCUUUCAGCAGGGAAGAAGCGAAAGUGACGGUACCUGCAGAAGAAGCGCCGGCUAACUACGUG
rnacentral:rRNA from 1 species